rnacentral:rRNA from 1 species
UACGGAGGAUCCAAGCGUUAUCCGGAAUCAUUGGGUUUAAAGGGUCCGUAGGCGGUUUUAUAAGUCAGUGGUGAAAUCCGGUAGCUCAACUAAUCGAACUGCCAUUGAUACUGUAGAACUUGAAUUAUUGUGAAGUAACUAGAAUAUGUAGUGUAGCGGUGAAAUGCUUAGAUAUUACAUGGAAUACCAAUUGCGAAGGCAGGUUACUAACAAUACAUUGACGCUGAUGGACGAAAGCGUGGGGAGCGAACAGG